rnacentral:rRNA from 1 species
GAUGAACGCUAGCGGGAGGCCUAACACAUGCAAGCCGAGCGGUAGAGUUUCUUCGGAAACUUGAGAGCGGCGCACGGGUGCGUAACACGUGUGCAACCUACCUUUAUCUGGGGGAUAGCCUUUCGAAAGGAAGAUUAAUACCCCAUAAUAUAAUGAUUGGCAUCAAUUAUUAUUGAAAACUCCGGUGGAUAGAGAUGGGCACGCGCAAGAUUAGAUAGUUGGUGAGGUAACGGCUCACCAAGUCAAUGAUCUUUAGGGGUCCUGAGAGGGAGAUCCCCCACACGGGUACUGGGACACGGACCAGACUCCUACGGGAGGCAGCAGUGAGGAAGAUUGGACAAUGGGUGAGAGCCUGAUCCAGCCAUCCCGCGUGAAGGAUGACGGUCCUAUGGAUUGUAAACUUCUGUUGUACAGGGAUAAACCUACCCUCGGGAGGGUAGCUGAAGGUACUGUACGAAUAAGCACCGGCUAACUCCGUG